rnacentral:rRNA from 1 species
AUUGAACGCUGGCGGCAUGCUUUACACAUGCAAGUCGAACGGCAGCACGGGGGCAACCCUGGUGGCGAGUGGCGAACGGGUGAGUAAUACAUCGGAACGUGCCCGGUCGUGGGGGAUAACGUAGCGACAGUUACGCUAAUACCGCAUACGAUCUGAGGAUGAAAGCGGGGGACCUUCGGGCCUCGCGCGAUCGGCGCGGCCGAUGUCAGAUUAGGUAGUUGGUGGGGUAAAGGCCUACCAAGCCGACGAUCUGUAGCUGGUCUGAGAGGACGACCAGCCACACUGGGACUGAGACACGGCCCAGACUCCUACGGGAGGCAGCAGUGGGGAAUUUUGGACAAUGGGCGCAAGCCUGAUCCAGCCAUUCCGCGUGCAGGACGAAGGCCUUCGGGUUGUAAAAUGCUUUUGUAUGGAAAGAAAAGGCUCUGGCUAAUACCUGGGGCUCAUGACGGUACCGUAAGAAUAAGCACCGGCUAACUACGUG